rnacentral:rRNA from 1 species
GUCUACGGCCAUACCACCCUGAACGCGCCCGAUCUCGUCUGAUCUCGGAAGCUAAGCAGGGGGCCCGGUUAGUACUUGGAUGGGAGACCGCCUGGGAAUACCGGGUGCUGUAGGCU